AACAGUAGCGAAGACCGAAGGGAACCGAGUCUGAUAAGGGCGUUGAUAAUUACGUGUGGUAGACCCGAACCCUGAUGAUCUAGGCAUGGCCAGGAUGAAGCGCGUGUAACAAUGCGUAGAGGUCCGAACCAACCGAUGUUGAAAAAUCGGUGGAUGAGCUGUGUUUAGGGGUGAAAUGCCAAUCGAAUCAGGAGCUAGCUGGUUCUCCCCGAAAGGCGUUGAGGCACCGCGUCAGAUUUAUCCUACAGGGGGUAGAGCACUAGUUCGGUGCGGGCGGAGAAAAUCCGUACCAAAUCGAGUUAAACUCCGAAUACCUGUAGCGUCAUUAUCUGGCAGUGAGAGUGCGAGAGAUAAGUUCCGUACUCAAGAGGGGAAAACAGCCCAGACUACCGACUAAGGUCCCAAAAAUUCAUGCUAAGUGAUUAAGGAGG
rnacentral:rRNA from 1 species